rnacentral:lncRNA from 10 species
GGAAGAGCAGAAGAAACUGAAUUGGAAUAACAUAAUUAUUACAAGAACUACUUAUUAAGUACCCACAAAAUAACAGAUCUCAGCUUGAAUGUCAACUCCUAAGAGAAGUUAUCAUAGAAGACUUGAGGAAAUCAUUUUCAUAGAUGUACAUUGAAGAUGUCAGUUUCUACAUGUGGGAAGUAGACAUUGAAGGCUUUAUGGUUUACAGACAAGAUCUUUAGAAGAUAAGCACUAAAGGACCAAGGAAAUAAAUACCAGAAAUCAAGAAGAGCACACACUAUUUUCCUUCAUCAAUCCAUAGAACCCUAAUGCUUCUUUAGUUCCAUCAAACACAGAGGAAUGACCACCAUGGCAGAUGGCAACAGAGGAUGUCAACAAUUUUUUGGAGGCAAGCAAUGAAAUAUUUCUACUAUGAGUUUUCUGUUAUUAAUCAUGUAGACACAAGUAGAAUUAUAUUGGGUUUUAAUUUAAAAUGAAAAGUAUUAUUUCCUGU